UUGGAACAACUUGAGGAUGGUCUUUGGAGAUUGCAUUAAAGUUGCAUUAAAACCCUGACGUCCUCCUUCAUUGCCAUACAAAGUGGGUUGGAACAAAUUUCAUUCUGUAUUUGGAGGAGGAGGAGGAGGAGCAACAAAGGCGAUACCCUCAUGUCCUGCAGUUUUGGGAUAAAAUCCAUCCUUCAUUAUUGUGGGAGAAAUGGCACUGAAGCAAGACCGUCUUUUUACAAGCAGUUGAUACAUGG